UACGUAGGGUGCGAGCGUUGUCCGGAAUUAUUGGGCGUAAAGAGCUCGUAGGCGGUUUGUCGCGUCUGCUGUGAAAGUCCGGGGCUCAACUCCGGAUCUGCGGUGGGUACGGGCAGACUAGAGUGAUGUAGGGGAGACUGGAAUUCCUGGUGUAGCGGUGAAAUGCGCAGAUAUCAGGAGGAACACCGAUGGCGAAGGCAGGUCUCUGGGCAUUAACUGACGCUGAGGAGCGAAAGCAUGGGGAGCGAACAGG
rnacentral:rRNA from 1 species